rnacentral:rRNA from 1 species
GAUGAACGCUGGCGGCGUGCUUAACACAUGCAAGUCGAACGGAAAGGCCCUGCUUUUGUGGGGUGCUCGAGGGGCGAACGGGUGAGUAACACGUGAGUAACCUGCCCCUGACUUAGGGAUAACUUCAGGAAACAGGGGUUCACACCGGAUAGGAGCUCCUGCUCCAUGGUGGGGGUUGGAAAGUUUCGGUGGUGGGGGAUGGACUGGCGGCUUAUCAGCUUGCUGGUGUGGUGGUGGCUUACCAAGGUUUUGACGGGUAGCCGGCCUGAGAGGGUGACCGGCCUCAUUGGGACUGAGAUACGGCACAGACUCGUACGGGAGGCAGCAGUGGGGAAUAUUGCACAAUGGGGGGAAGCCUGAUGCAGCAACGCCGCGUGCGGGAUGAUGGCCUUCGGGUUGUAAACCGCUUUCGCCUGUGACGAAGCGUGAGUGACGGUAAUGGGUAAAGAAGCACCGGCUAACUACGUG